UACGGGAGGCAGCAGUGGGGAAUAUUGCACAAUGGGCGCAAGCCUGAUGCAGCCAUGCCGCGUGUAUGAAGAAGGGCCUUCGGGUUGUAAAGUACUUUCAGUCGUGAGGAAGGUGUUAAGGUUAAUAACCUUAGCAAUUGACGUUAGCGACAGAAGAAGCACCGGCUAACUCCGUGCCAGCAGCCGCGGUAAUACGGAGGGUGCGAGCGUUAAUCGGAAUUACUGGGCGUAAAGGGCACGCAGGCGGUUAAUUAAGUUGGAUGUGAAAUCCCCGGGCUUAACCUGGGAAUGGCAUUCAAGACUGGUUAGCUAGAGUCUUGUAGAGGGGGUAGAAUUCCAUGUGUAGCGGUGAAAUGCGUAGAGAUGUGGAGGAAUACCGGUGGCGAAGGCGGCCCCUGGGACAAAGACUGACGCUCAUGUGCGAAAGCGUGGGGAGCAAACAGGGAUUAGAUACC
rnacentral:rRNA from 1 species